GACAUAGGUGGCGAACGUUAUCCGGAAUUAUUGGGCGUAAAGGAUGCGUAGAUGGUAGAAUAAGUUACUGGUCGAUGCCAAACUCAAUUUGACGGAAGCUGGUAAUACUGUUCUGCUUGAGGGCAGGAGAGGUUGAUGGAAUUCUGUGUGGAGCGGUGAAAUGCGUUGAUCUACAGAGGAACACCAAAAAAGGCGAAGGCAGUCAACUACUCUGUUCCUGACAUUGAGGCAUGAAAGCGUGGGGAGCAAACCGG
rnacentral:rRNA from 1 species